AAGGAUAUGAAAGGGACAAAGAAAAAAAGGAAAUAAUAAAAGAGGAAUAUAGAAAGGAAAGAGGAAUUUGGAAAGAGCGAAGGAAGGAAAAAGGCGACGACGAUAGAGAAGAGAAGAGAGGAGAAAUUGGCAAGAAUGAGAGAGGGAGAAAGGAAAUUUGACGGUGGAACGGCGAGAGGGGAAAAGGGAAAAAGACGAAGAGCGUUCGCCGGAUAAUCCUUGGAGUCAUUUGUCUGCCGGCUGUUGAGACGCUCAUUUGUUCGCGGCGCGAUGACAGAUGACAAUGAAGUAGAGAUCGUGCCACGGUCAUGGAGCGUGGGUUGAUAAAGGUGGAGGAAAGGGGGAAAAAAGCAGCGGUAUACCCCACCUCUAGCAGUUAGGAUGCAGAUCUGUUUGCCGUUCGUGCCUCAAUUAUUCUCGGAUCAUCGUUGUGUAUCGGUCUGCAGAACAAUCGAAUCGUAUUUGUGUCGCCGUGAUUAAAAACAUAAUGUUCUGUUUCGCAAGCGGUAAGUCGCUCUCUGAAAAGAGAGAAAGAGAAGGAAGUAUCACAUUGAACGUAUUCAUAUACAAAACUUUUACAUACAAUUCUUGUUAUAACAUUUUAUUAUUUAAUCGAACGUCAAAUCAAAAAAUUCGUAAUGCAAUGAUUAUUUUAAUGUUUUAGGCUUUUAUUUUUAUUUUUUUACUAAAAAUAUAUACCUAGUUUAUCGAAAAAAGAAAAUAAAGUAAAAUAUCGAAAAAAACAUCCGGCCGGUCGAAAACGAGGAAACGGGGAGUCGUGAAGGAUGAAACUAAGCGCUGCAAAGCUGAGGGGGAAAUAGAAGGAAGAAGAGAGAAGAAGAAACCAUCGUUUCUCUUUCUGGCUAUUAAAUUUAAUAGCCAAUAUCUCCCCUAUUGCUAACACUUUUUAUGCCUUUUAUCUUCUUGCGAUUCUUUCAAGAUAAGUAAACAUUGAUUUUCUUUAAUAAAUCGAUCCUUCUUGUUGAUUGUUGA